AUUGAACGCUGGCGGCAUGCCUUACACAUGCAAGUCGAGCGGCAGCGCGGGGGCAACCCUGGCGGCGAGCGGCGAACGGGUGAGUAAUACAUCGGAACGUGUCCUCUUGUGGGGGAUAACCAGUCGAAAGACUGGCUAAUACCGCAUGAGAUCGAGAGAUGAAAGCGGGGGACCGCAAGGCCUCGCGCGAGAGGAGCGGCCGAUGUCCGAUUAGCAGUUGGCGGGGUAACGGCCCACCAAGGCGACGAUCGGUAGCUGGUCUGAGAGGACGACCAGCCACACUGGGACUGAGACACGGCCCAGACUCCUACGGGAGGCAGCAGUGGGGAAUUUUGGACAAGUGGGGGCAACCCUGAUCCAGCCAUGCCGCGUGUGUGAAGAAGGCCU
rnacentral:rRNA from 1 species